GACGAACGCUGGCGGCAUGCCUAAUACAUGCAAGUCGAGCGAACAGAUGAAGUGCUUGCACUUCUGACGUUAGCGGCGAACGGGUGAGUAACACGUAAGGAAUCUACCUAUAAGCGGGGGAUAACAUUCGGAAACGGGUGCUAAUACCGCAUAAUAUCUUCUUCCGCAUGGAAGAAGAUUGAAAGACGGCUCUGCUGUCACUUAUAGAUGACCUUGCGGUGCAUUAGUUAGUUGGUGGGGUAAUGGCCUACCAAGACGAUGAUGCAUAGCCGACCUGAGAGGGUGGUCGGCCACAAUGGGACUGAGACACGGCCCAAACUCCUACGGGAGGCAGCAGUAGGGAAUCUUCCGCAAUGGGCGAAAGCCUGACGGAGCAAUGCCGCGUGAGUGAAGAAGGCCUUCGGGUCGUAAAACUCUGUUAUAAGAGAAGAACAAAUUGUAGAGUAACUGCUACAGUCUUGACGGUAUCUUAUCAGAAAGCCACGGCUAACUACGUGCCAGCCGCCGCGGUAA
rnacentral:rRNA from 1 species